rnacentral:rRNA from 1 species
GACGAACGCUGGCGGCGUGCUUAACACAUGCAAGUCGAACGGUAAGGCCCUUCGGGGUACACGAGUGGCGAACGGGUGAGUAACACGUGGGUGAUCUGCCCUGCACUUCGGGAUAAGCCUGGGAAACUGGGUCUAAUACCGGAUAGGACUCCGGACUGCAUGGUCUGGGGUGGAAAGCUUUUGCGGUGUGGGAUGGGCCCGCGGCCUAUCAGCUUGUUGGUGGGGUGAUGGCCUACCAAGGCGACGACGGGUAGCCGGCCUGAGAGGGUGACCGGCCACACUGGGACUGAGAUACGGCCCAGACUCCUACGGGAGGCAGCAGUGGGGAAUAUUGCGCAAUGGGCGCAAGCCUGAUGCAGCGACGCCGCGUGAGGGAUGACGGCCUUCGGGUUGUAAACCUCUUUCAGCAUCGACGAAGCGAAAGUGACGAUAGGUGCAGAAGAAGGACCGGCCAACUACGUGCCAGCAGCCGCCGCGG